CCUACGGGAGCAGCAGUGGGGAAUUUUCCGCAAUGGGCGAAAGCCUGACGGAGCAACGCCGCGUGAGGGAUGAAGGCCUCUGGGCUGUAAACCUCUUUUAUCAAGGAAGAAGAUCUGACGGUACUUGAUGAAUAAGCCACGGCUAAUUCCGUGCCAGCAGCCGCGGUAAUACGGGAGUGGCAAGCGUUAUCCGGAAUUAUUGGGCGUAAAGCGUCCGCAGGCGGUCUUGUAAGUCUGUCGUUAAAGCGUGGAGCUCAACUCCAUUUCGGCGGUGGAAACUACAAGACUAGAGUGUGGUAGGGGCAGAGGGAAUUCCCGGUGUAGCGGUGAAAUGCGUAGAUAUCGGGAAGAACACCAGUGGCGAAGGCGCUCUGCUGGGCCAUAACUGACGCUCAUGGACGAAAGCUAGGGGAGCGAAAGGGAUUAGAUACCCCUGUAGUCCUAGCCGUAAACGAUGAACACUAGGUGUCGGGGGAAUCGACCCCCUCGGUGUCGUAGCUAACGCGUUAAGUGUUCCGCCUGGGGAGUACGCACGCGAGUGUGAACUACAAGAGUAGUAGCGCGNGAGCGCGACGACGACGACGACGGAGGAGAG
rnacentral:rRNA from 1 species